rnacentral:rRNA from 1 species
CCUACGGGUGGCAGCAGUCGAGAAUCAUUCACAAUGGGGGAAACCCUGAUGGUGCGACGCCGCGUGGGGGAAUGAAGUUCUUCGGAUUGUAAACCCCUGUCAUGUGGGAGCAAAUUAAAAAGAUAGUACCACAAGAGGAAGAGACGGCUAACUCUGUGCCAGCAGCCGCGGUAAUACAGAGGUCUCAAGCGUUGUUCGGAAUCACUGGGCGUAAAGCGUGCGGAGGCUGUUUCGUAAGUCGUGUGUGAAAGGCGCGGGCUCAACCCGCGGACGGCACAUGAUACUGGGAGACUAGAGUAAGGGAGGGGGAACCGGAAUUCUCGGUGUAGCAGUGAAAUGCGUAGAUAUCGAGAGGAACACUCGUGGCGAAGGCGGGUUCCUGGACAGUAACUGACGCUGAGGCACGAAGGCCAGGGGAGCGAAAGGGAUUAGAUACCCGAGUAGUC